rnacentral:tRNA from 1 species
GCCCGGAUGGCGGAACAGGUAGACGCACAGGACUUAAAAUCCUGAGCCUCGCGAGGGGCGUGCCAGUUCGAUUCUGGUUCCGGGCACCA